rnacentral:rRNA from 1 species
GCCUACGGGGGGCAGCAGUGGGGAAUAUUGCACAAUGGGGGAAACCCUGAUGCAGCGACGCCGCGUGAGUGAAGAAGUAUCUCGGUACGUAAAGCUCUAUCAGCAGGGAAGAAAAUGACGGUACCUGACUAAGAAGCCCCGGCUAACUACGUGCCAGCAGCCGCGGUAAUACGUAGGGGGCAAGCGUUAUCCGGAUUUACUGGGUGUAAAGGGAGCGUAGACGGCAGCACAAGUCUGGAGUGAAAGCCCGGGGCCCAACCCCGGGACUGCUUUGGAAACUGCCAUGCUGGAGUGCUGGAGAGGUA